rnacentral:pre_miRNA from 1 species
UGGAUAGAUUAUUGUAUUCGACUGUAUUCACGGCACGAAACAGGGGAUUACACUGUUUUUAAAACGGAAAGUGAAUCAAUUAACAUAAUAGACUCCU